rnacentral:tRNA from 1 species
GCUGGGGGCAUAGCUCAGUGGUAAGAGCAUUUACUUAGCAUGCAUGAGGUCCUAGGUUCAAUCCCCAGCUCGGCA